UCCCCAUUGGCUCAGUAGGUAAAGAAUCUGUCUGCAAUGCAGGAGACACAGAAGACUCGGGUUCAAAUCCUGAGUCAGGAA
rnacentral:tRNA from 1 species